CCCGCGGAGUCCUNGUGGCUCGCGCGCGGGCACGCUACCGUGCGUCCGAGGGNCGGCGCUCGANGWCGGGCACUUCUCCCCAAGUAGAACGUCGCGACCCGCUGGGUGNCGGUCUACGGNCCGGGUGAGGUGACUGUCGCGUNGCCGGUAAAACGGCACGCGACAAACCCUCGGUCGCCCGGCCGGCUGCUCGGCGGUACGCGCAAGGUAUCAGGCCGCACGCUUAUUCAGUGGUGCGUCGAGGCCGUCGCAAGCGCGCGCCACGGUACUCGGAGGUUACGGACUUCGCGCCGUCCCCGGUCCUGGCCCGCUGUUGGUUACAGUACGGUUCACCUUCGACAGGCCUGCGAACGUCUCCCGCGUGUUGUCACGCGGGGGACCGAUACCGGUCGGCGACGCUACUGCUUG
rnacentral:rRNA from 1 species